CGCAUCUUGAUUCUGGUUGAGAACCCUCUACUCUCUGAGUGGCUACUUAAGCCCAUACAUUGGCUACUAAAGCCAGGCUGCUUCAGAAACAUGAAAUAAAAAGCACCAGAGACAAAAGUGUGAAACAAAUGGAUGUGGUUUCUAUGUCCUGCUGGUGAAGGAGAAGACAGCUAGCAAGCAGGAACCUCUGCUGUCACAGUAUUGGAGGCUGGGAAGUCCAAGAGGGUGAUGCUCCAGAUUCCAUACCUGCACCAGCAUUAUGGUUGCUCAGUUUCUUCACAAAGCAAAUCAUGAAGAAGUACAGACCUGACUUAAAGAGUUACUAGCUCUUUUGGAAAAGUACAAGAAGUUGAAAUACUAUGAGGCACUUUCAGAAGGUGCUCACCAAUUGAUUAGGAGCUCCAUAUCUGAACCUCAUACUCUUUUGGAAAGCACUAUUUCUGUACAUCCGUGUAUGUGGUGUGCCUGCCUCCUAAAGCCAAGUACACAGAGGAAAG
rnacentral:lncRNA from 1 species